rnacentral:misc_RNA from 1 species
GAUGAAGAACGUAGCGAAAUGCGAUAAGUAGUGUGAAUUGCAGAAUUCAGUGAAUCAUCGAAUCUUUGAACGCACAUUGCGCCCAUUAGUAUUCUAGUGGGCAUGCCUGUUCGAGCGUCAUUAAGUCCACUUAAGCCUAGCUUAGUGUUGGGAGACUGCUCCAGUGGUGCUACCCUGUAGCUACCCUGCAGCUCCUUAAAGACAGCGGCGGAGUCGUGUUAUCCUCUGAGCUUAGUAAAUCAUUCUAGCUUUCGAGAGUAUCACUUCACCUGCCGUUAAACCACCUAAUUUUUAUGGUUGACCUCGGAUCAGGUAGGAAUACCCGCUGAACUUAAGCAUAUCAAUAAGCGGAGGA